rnacentral:tRNA from 2 species
GCCGAGGUGGCGGAAUUGGCAGACGCGCAGCGCUCAGAACGCUGUGGUAGAAAUACCUUCGGGGUUCAAAUCCCCGCCUCGGCA